AAAUUGAAGAGUUUGAUCAUGGCUCAGAUUGAACGCUGGCGGCAGGCCUAACACAUGCAAGUCGAGCGGAAACGACAACAUUGAAUCUUCGGAGGAUUUGUUGGACGUCGAGCGGCGGACGGGUGAGUAAUGCCUAGGAAAUUGCCUUGAUGUGGGGGAUAACCAUUGGAAACGAUGGCUAAUACCGCAUAAUGCCUACGGGCCAAAGAGGGGGAUCUUCGGACCUCUCGCG
rnacentral:rRNA from 1 species